UUUUUUCUUGUUCUGAUGUGGAGACUGCAUUUCAGCAAGAUUGUAUACUAAUUAACCAGCUUGAUGGUAAUGUUCCCAAACUGUUAAAAGAGUUAGGAACAGAGUCUUUCCGCCCAGCCUUGUCCUCGUCUAUAAUUGAUGGUAUACAACAAAUUGCCCAGAUUGAUGGUACCGUUCCAUUUGUGCUCGCAGAGUUAACAAUAGAGUCUCCUCGCCCAGGCUCGUCCUCUUCUGGAAUGGAGGGUGUACAAGAAUUUGGCCAGCUUGAUGGUAAUGUUCCCAAACUGUUAAAAGAGUUAGGAACAGAGUCUCUCCGCCCAGCCUUGUCCUCGUCUGGAAUGGAUGGUUUACAACAAAUUGCCCAGACUAAGAACAGAGCUAGGGUUAGGAGUGAUUCGUAUGGAUCAGAUACAUCCUUAGAAUCAGACG